rnacentral:lncRNA from 1 species
AAUUUGCACAACCACUUUGGAAAUCAAUUUGGCAGUUUCUCAGAAAACUGGGACUAGUUCUACCUGAAGACCCAGCUAUACCACUCCUGGGCAUAUACUCAAAAGAUGCCCCACCAUUCCACAAAGACACUUGCUCCAUUAUGUUCAUAGACGCUUUAUUCGUUUAUAGUUCCAGGAACUGGAAACAGCCUAGAUGUCGCCUCUUUGUUUCUUAAAGAACUUGUCAUCUAUUUGGGGGAGCAGCCCUUCCCACUGCCACGAUUCUGAUUGUGAGGCUUUAGCAGAGCUGUGGGAGAACUUUGCAUGGCGUGGGCUGCGGGACUCUGUUUCUAAGGAUAGACAGGAGCUGGCUGCAGUGAGAGAGAAGACACACGUGCAGGGAGGUCGCUGGUAGCUUCAAGGCUUUUUCCUGGUAUCCUUCAGAAUAGCUGCAUCUGUGACCUUCUUACGUCUGGUUUAUCAGCCCUUUUCAAAAUCCCAAGGCUGAUACCAUUUUUUUUUAAAUGCAUAGUUUGACUGAAUUGGGUUUCUGAUGCUUGAAGCUAAAAAUCUGAAUAGAUAUAAGAUUGAUUUCCUAGACACCAUGUUAACAGCUGGUUACCGAAUUAUAACCACACGCCUGUCUACUGUUGGGCCUGAUAUGGAGAAGUAGUGAUCACACCGUGAGAAUGGGUCUGAGAGAUCCCUGAGGAGACGGCUGUGCUCACCCCACCGUGGGCAUCUCUAGACCUGGGUCACAUGAGCCUCUCUUU